rnacentral:lncRNA from 1 species
AGUCCCAUUGGCUCUGCAGGGCUCCGUCCUCUGCAGAGGACAUGAGGCCAUCUAAACCCAAUCCCUGCUUAUCCACAGUCUGCCCCAUGCUCCCGGGAACUCUGGUUCUUGUGUAGAAGGAGUUCUACUAGAAGCCCGACUUGUGGUGCUAUCAACCUUUGGAUCAAGUCAGGUUGAACAACAGCAAGCACUGUUCUAGAACCUGCUGUGUAUGCCUCAGGGAUUUGUCUGAGCAGUUCGCAUAAUUCAUUUAAUCUUCUCAACAACCCUCUGAGCUGAAUGCUACCAUUUUUCACCUUUUCUAACUGAAUAAUCUAAGACACAUACAUUAAGAAACUGAUCCAAAGACACACAAGCUAAUAAGUGGCUGGAGCUGGAUUCACAUUUAGUUGGUUUGGCUUCAGAGUUUGGGCCACUAGCUAUCUUGCUUCUCAUGUGCGGUGGGUCUAGAUCCAUGGAUAAAAAGUGUAAUUGGGAUUAUAAAAGGGGAAAGCACACCUUUAGGGCCCUAUGAGUCUCCAGGGAAGACAUGGCAACUUUGAAGAAUGAGAGUGUUGGUUGCUGGGCGAUGAACCACGCUUGUCUUGCGUUACCUCACCUCUCUGUGAACGCCUCUCUCCAUUUCUCUAUGAGCAGCCCACUUUUCAUCACUCUGUCUACAAGAAGGACAAGAGAAAUAGCAAUCUGCAUAUCAGAAAAAUUCUGCAGACUCUGACCCCAUUACCUUGCCAAGAUCACUCUGGUUUCACCCACCCCCAGGCAAAAGGAAAGCUCCGCUGUGCAGAGGGGCCCCGGGUGAGCCCUGCGCGUCUCCUCCCCUGGGCUCAGGCUCACCCCCACCUUUUUUAUUUUGCAAAACAUUCCUGCUGCCUCUCCAAUUUCCCACAGCACACUCGCCAGCCGGUUAGAGGAAGGAAGGCUGUGGGGAUGAGGUGCCUGGCCUGGCCACCAGGGUGGGCUGCAGGUGCUGGGGAGGGCUGGCCAAUGGGACAUUCUUCUUGGAAUAAGCCUGACAAGUUACCACUGGCUUAAACCUA